rnacentral:tRNA from 2 species
GGAGCGGUAGUUCAGCUGGUUAGUAUGCUGGCCUGUCACGCCGGAGGUCGCGGGUUCGAGUCCCGUCCGCUCCGCCA